CUCAUGUCCACCUUGAGAGAGAGAAGAAAAGCCCUGCCUUGUCUAAGCUCUUUCCCAUCACUAAGCUCUGAGCACAUCACUUCAAAGUGGCACCAGCUGUUUGCUGGGUGACAAACCAUUAGUUUGUUUUGCUUUUUUUUUUUUUUUUUUUUUUUUUUUUCUGCUGGCAUUGUGAUUGAAAUGUUACUUCUAUUUGGAAAUGAAAUAGCCUUAGAAGCUAUCAUCUGACUUGCUCUUUCUUAUUGAUGUGUUUUUCUGUUGACGCCCUGGGUGGCCUGAAGUCCUUAGUAGUGGCUGAAGACACAACCUUAUGCAUGAAGGUUGAAGCUGGGUGCAGGUAGGGUUAAUCUUGAGCUGCAGCUGGGACUUCAGUUCUGCCUCCAGGUGCUGAUUCUUUGGGGCAUCAGGGGAUCACUGGUGGAUGGAGAUGGUGAGAGCUGUUAAAGACUUUCCUUUCACUGUCGAAAAAAUUAAAAGACUAUAUUCAAGUUAUGCAACAGAUCUUAGAACUCAGCCUUCUGAGCUCAGAGGAAAUAAUCUCCUAAAAUGAAAAGACAAAAAAGUAAAAAAGCAAUCCCAAUAAAUUCAGAAUAGAGUGAGACAUAGGAGAGGGGUGACUGAAACACCUAUAGCAGCUUAUCAUGGAGGAAGAUUAUUAUUACAGUGUUAUGUGUAGCUGGGGACAGAGACAGCUGUUUGCAUUUUCUAAAUAUCACCCUGGGAAUAACAUCUUCCCUUACCAAUGUUAUUUUGUUCUGUGUGGCAUCGCCCUGCUAACCUCUGAUCAUUGUGUCCUGGCUCUAAGCAGAGAGUUCAGAUCAAGGCAAAUAAACUUGAGCAUUAUCUGAUGCUGGAUUAUGUAGCCCUGCAGUCAUUCAGCUGCAACCUCUACGGUAACCUUCGCGUACACCCUGUAUCCUUUCUGUUUAUGUUCAUCUUUUUCCUAGCACCUCUUUAAAUUACACACCUGCAGAGGCACUGAUCACUGCAGUGUAGCCAUAAAGGAAAGACAUUGCUUCUUUGCCCUCCUAAAUACCUUGAAACACUAUUGAUUAAUUUUUCACCUGAAAUAGUCCACCCUGAAUGGAUGGAGAGGAAUUUGCCACUGAUGUUCUGUAGUCCAACGUGUGUGAAUGGCAUCUCACUCCCUGAGCUCUGUCUGCUGUGUAUUGCAGUCCCAAAUUCCUGUUUUCUA
rnacentral:lncRNA from 1 species